rnacentral:lncRNA from 1 species
AUUGCCUCAAGGCUUAAAAAUCCUUCUUUAACCUGUGUCCUCCACUUCAUCUACACUGAUUGGACUGAGAUUAACAGGUGGCAUCAAUAAGGGAUUCCCCUGGUCAGUCUGUCACAGAAGAGCAGGUGUUCCUAAAGUUAUGUACCCUCACGUCACCAAGCCCUCACGUCACUACAGCCCUCACGCCACUACAGCCCUCACGUAACUAAGCCCUCAUGUCACCACACGCCCUCACGCCACCAGUCUCACUCACGCACUACAGCCCUCACGCCACUACAGCACUCACGCCACUACAGCCCUCACGUCACCACAGCCCUCAUGUCACCACAGCCCUCACGCCAUACACCCUCACACACUACAGCCCUCACGCCACUACAGCCCUCACUCACUACAGCCCCACGUCACUACAGCCCUCAAGUCACUACAUCCCUCAUCACUACAGCCCUCACGUCACUACAGCCCUCAAGUCACUACAUCCGUCACGUCAUUACUACCCUCACGUCACCACAGCCCUCACGUCACUACAGCCCUCACGUCACUACAGCCCUCAUGUCACCCAGCCCUCACGCCACUACAGCCCUCACUGUCACCACAGCCCUCAUGUCACUACAGCCCUCACGCCACUACACGCCCACACCCUCACCCCAGUCACUACAGCCCUCACGUCACUACAACUACGCCCUCACGUCACUAACAUCCCUCACGUCACCACAGCCAUCAUGUCACCA